AGCCUCUUUCCUUGGCGUGGUCCUAGCUCCCCGCACCGAUCCCGCUCCCCGCGGGUGACCCAGCCCAGAGCUCAACCUCAUACAUACUAAAUGCUUUAGAACACCUGCCUGCCUCUUCCCCCACCCUCCGCAACUGACAGUCCGAAACCGGAAGCAAGCUUCGGGCGGCCCGCCCACGACCGGAAGCGGAAGCGCGGAGUCUCGCAGUGGGAGGAACCGCGAGUGGCGCUAAGCCCUGCGGGUCGGACUGUCUCUAGGAGCCGGAGCCCUUGGCCCGCGGCUGAGACCGAACGCGGCGAGCAGCAGACAGGUGCUCGGGACCCAGCGCCUGCGUGGCCGCUGCAGAGACCCCUGUACCCCCCGCAGGGGGCCAGCCUGCACCUCGGGGGACUUGGCCAAGUCUGGACCCAGUUCUGCUUGUCACAGAUUGGAGGUAGAGCCAGUGCUCCUGUCAUCUAGCGGGUGAAAGCCAGAGACGCUGCCCUACAUCCUAGAAAGCACCGUGCACCGCCCCACAACAAAAGAAUUACCUGUGGUCCCUCGGCUAGGAAGCCCUGCUGUGGGGCUUUAUGAUCACCCA
rnacentral:lncRNA from 1 species